UGGUAUAUCCAAUAUGUCAUUUACAUCCACAAUAGUUUGCAAAGUAGUUGACCGUUCAGGUCAAACCAUAUUUAUUGAGCUUGAACUUAGCAUGAUCAAUCCAGAAUUAUUUUUUGCAUUUUUAUUUUAAGUUGGUUAGAGCUCUGAUCUUGAAUAUUCCCUGAGGUGGCCUUAAGGGUAGACGGUGUGGGCUUCGUCCCACCCCCGUCGUGGUCCGGCGCCGCUCCGCCACCCAUUUCUCCCCUCCCCGUCGUCGUCGAGAUCGUCGAGCCUAGGACGAUUGAGACGCUCCACAAAAGACAAAAACCGUUCGAAUCGUAUGAUUAUUCGUAAUUGAUCUUCGUUCCUUGUAACCUAGGGUUUGUAAUUUGUUGAUUUCAGAAAAUUAGGUUUAAUCUUCGUUUUUCGUCAGCGAAUUUGUAUUUUUAGAGGUUGAAAUCGAGGUAUAUACGAUUAAGCCUCUGUUUUGUUCGAUCGAUUGUGGCAGAAACAUUACUGGACGAAUUUCACACAGGUGAAGAGAUUUAGGCAGAAAAUGAACAAGAAUUGUUUAUCUAUCAAUGGGGGCUUUUAUUUCGCCUCAAUCGAUUGUGUGUUUGUAGGUAUGAAAUUGUGAAUGAUUUGGAUGUAACUCGUUGUCGAGAUAAUAUAUGAAACUUUGUGAUCCUGUUAGUUGAAUCUUAUAAAGUUAUAAUUAACAGUUGAAAAGUCACCUCUCUUUAUGUCACCAAUGUAAGUAUCAACAGAACAGUUCUCGGGAAUCCCAUAUGUUUACGCCCUCUUGAACUGCUUGAUCUGCGCAUGGUAUGACUGCCCGCUCAUAUCAUAUGAUAAUUUGUUGGUCACAACGGUCAACUCUGUUGGUGCGAUUUUCCAGUUAACAUACAUAGUUAUCUAUAUAACACAUGCUGACAAAAGCAAAAAGGUCAGAAUGCCCAUAAUUUGUUGAAAUUAUUUGCACUUUUAAUGGUUUUGUUUUGUUUUAUUUUGGUAAUUGAAUAUCAAAUGUUUUAAGUUGAUUGGGAAGGGCAAAAGAAUCAAAUAGAUGCUGGUUAGUAAGGGUCGUUUUUCCUUUAGCGUUUGGCGUUUGGCGUUUUACGCCUUAUGCAUGCCAACCGUUAUCUUGCCACUGAUUUCCUCAAAAACAAGCUCAAAUUCAGGGGGUUUGUUAUAUCAGACUAGCAAGGGAUUGACAGGAUCACUACUCCCGAACAUGCGAACUACACAUAUUCAAUCAUAGCCGGGAUGAAUACUAGCAUUGAUAUGGGGCUCAUGCUGAUAAUCUUGGUUACCAAUGUGGUGGAUGGACAAUUGAGUGGCAAGGACUUUCAGGAGAUAUUACUUCUGGCACCACAAUCUUAUCUGCUGUGAAAAGGCCGUUGACCCGAAAACUCAAGUGGUCUACAAUGAGAACCCCAGUGAGAAUUUUGUCAAGUCUGCCAAAUUCGACUAUGCGAUUGUCGUUGUGGGAGAGCACCCGUAUGCUGAGACAUUUGGAGACAGCCUGAAUCUAACAAUCCCAGAGCCUGGACCAAGCACCAUCAAGAAUGUUUGGUGGAGUACAUUUGGAACAACGCUCAAAACAAACCCGACGACGACAUGGAGGACGAAGACUAGUAGCUUAUUUUAAUAUAUUAGGAUUUUUUAAAGUUUAUGUAAUGUUUUUUAAUAUUAAUGAAAAUAUUUUGUUAGUUUA